rnacentral:rRNA from 1 species
CACGUAGGGGCCAAGCGUUGUCCGGAUUUAUUGGGCGUAAAGAGCGUGUAGGCGGCCUGACAAGUCUGCUGUGAAAACUCGAGGCUCAACCUCGAGAUGUCGGCGGAAACUGUCUGGCUAGAGUCCGGAAGAGGAGAGUGGAAUUCCUGGUGUAGCGGUGAAAUGCGCAGAUAUCAGGAAGAACACCUAUGGCGAAGGCAGCUCUCUGGGACGGUACUGACGCUGAGACGCGAAAGCGUGGGGAGCGAACAGG